AUACAAAUAAAAAAAGAAAAUCAAUCCCAUAAUCUAGAAGAAAGUGAUUACAAUUUCAUGCUUUCAAAACACAAGAAAAAACUUUUUUAUGGGAGGAAGAAACACAUGAAAAUAAUGAAAAAUAAAUUGUCUAUAUAUAGAAAAAAUAAUCAUGGCAUAAUCAAUUUUGAUUUAAUGGUGAAAACUAAAUGAGUCAUGAUUCAUUUUUUUGUCUAAGAAAAAAUAAAUGAGUCAUGAUUUAAUUAUAUUGAUUGAUAAGAAAGCAUUAAAUGAAAUGAGAAAUGUGAUAAUAUCAUGUGUACUUUUUAUUUGACGCAAACCAAAUAUUUAUAAUAGAGAUAGAGAUUUAAAAUAAAAUAGAGGGAGUGGGUGGAGAACACAUCAAAAUUGAGGGGGAGAAAGGAAAACAAAAGGAAAGAAAAGAAAAGAAGGUAAACGGAACAAAGGAAGAUCCGAGCAAACAAGGAUAAAAGAUGGAGAGCAAUACUUUGUGUUCAUACGGAGAAUCCGAUCCACCUCAGUGAAUAAUGGAGACUAUAACAAGUUGUAGAUUUUUACUUCUAAGGUGAAAAGUAUAAGCACAAAUAGUUCUAUGUAGCUUAUUCGAUGAUGUUUUGUGUUGCCAUUGAAAUUUUCUUUUCUAUCUAUAUAUUACCAUGUCCUAUUGUUAUCCUUUUCAUUAUCUACUCACUUUUAUGCUCAGAACCGCUGACUCGUGCAGAACUGAACACCUCUUCUAGAGCAUAGUCCAUUUUCCUUUUUGCGAAGCUCUUUUGUGCUUGUGCUUGGAGGAGCAUGUUUUGUCGUCAUAAUUACCUUAAAUAUGUCUUUUGAGUUGUAAUCUUUAAAAAUUAAAUAAAAACCUUUAGUGGCUCUUUUGCAUAGUUGGAUUGGUUGUUUUUAGGCUAAUUUGAUGCUAUGAAUUAUGUUGAGCCUUGACAUGUAUGAAGCAGUCUUAUGUUGAAUAUAUAUAUACAUGUUUAUGUUAUUUUGGAAACUCAUUAUUUUAGGGUAAACUCUGUCGAGUUUUUGGUAAAAAGUUCGUAAAAUGUAUGCUUCAUCAAUUUUAGUAUUUUGGUUACUAUUAAUGUCAAAUUAUGCAUACUUAAGGCUUGCCAGACUAUAUUUACAGUUUGAGCGCCGGUCAUGUCCUGUUUGGGUCGUGACAGAUAUGUAAGUUGUGCUUCAGCCUGAGCUGUAUUUUCUAACUGUAUUUUUCUUUUUGUUUUUUAAACUAAUAUUUUCCUUAUAAAAUGUAAUCUCAGUCUUCUGAUGCCUCCCCCAGUUACCCUACUUCCGUUGAAUUUCAACAACCUUCGUUGUGCUUUCUUAAUUCUCUACUCAGUUCAGCGACAACUGCACUUGAAAGGGCAGCUGAAGAGAAAUCCUUAUUACUGAACAAGCGAGAGUUUGUAUGAAGACGAGGAGUUUGAUCAUUACCAAAGGCAACUCGCUGCACUACUUGUAUAUAAGGUUGUUUUGCCAGAGGGUUCAAAAGAUAUUUUACCAUCUGUUCCAUUUCCUAUGAAAGAAAGACAUGAGUUUAUAAUGGCAUCCCUCAACAUACUAGCUGGAUUUGUAAGGAUGAUUAAAGGGAAAGCACACAGGUUAGACCUAAAAAUUACCCCUUCCCAAGGAAAUGGGAGCAUAGACAGAAAUCCAGAUAGCACUGCACACGUGAUUGAGAAAAAUGCAAUGGGAUGGUGAUGAUAGGGGUGAAAAGAAAAGGAGUGUUCCUGAUUUUUAGAAGGUUGGGUGGAUCAAAGAGUC